CUGCAGGGACCGUCUUAUCCUUCAUGGUGGCACGCUCGACAGCUUUUGCAACUAUCGACUCAACAUCAGGACAGGUUUUCUCAUAAUGAUUCAAGCUAAGAGCAAUGGCUGGUGAAGUCGACGCAGACACGAGCAAAACUAAGGUCAGUACUGCUAUGAGUAAAGCCAUUUUAAAAACCACUUUGUCUUCUUUUAUCAAAUUCAAAGUAGCUUUUAGCUCGUUUUGUAUGGGAAAGUUUAGAGAUUCAUAGAGAUUAUUUAUAGUGAGCCAAAGGAUGUGCUAGUAACAAAGGUCACCUAUAGGUGGCCCCAUUGCAUAUGGUAAUGAAAUGCUUGAAGAAAAAAUUAUGAUGUAGUGUUUAUUAAGCAUGCUUCAUCCUACCACAAAAUCCCCAUGCAACUGAUCUUUGUCAUUUUCAUAUCCAUAUUGAAAAUAAUCCAAUUUUUUUUCUUUUUCUUUUUUUUUUUCCUUUUUUGCUUGUGUGAUAUUUGUAACUAUGGUUUGUUAGGAUUAAUUUACUAAUUUUUUACAUGUAAAUAGCAUGUAAUUAAAUCGAUAUAUUUAGUUAAAAUUUGAGUUGGCUAAUUCUCUAAUAUUUAUUUAUUCAUUUAUUUUUAAGUUGGGUAAUUUUAUGAAAUUUAUCUAUAAUGGGGAUUAGGCUGAGGCUUGUAGCCAUUGCUAAUGUUUGAUACAACAACAGGAAAAAGAUAGAUUCUCGUUUGUUCAAAAGGGAAGAGGUUAGGGUGUAACAAUCAGAGUAGUUAUUUGUGCUUAUAAAGCUUGUUCUCUAAGUCUCUUAACUUUAUCAAAUUAAGGCUAACCUUUUUGCUCUUUAGUAUUAUACUUUGCAAAAGGUGUUCACGGGUCCAGGUUAAAUAAAAGUAUAUGUUGAGUUGUUUGUCCUGAAUUGGUGGACUCGUAAAUAAAUUUAGUAUUGUCUUGGUAACAGUUUUGUCUCUCAACUUUGUUAAAAAUUUUAGUGUCUCUUUAAACCAUCUUUACAAGGACUCGCACUUAAACCAUCUUUACAAGGACUCGCACUUUCAACAGAGUUGGGAGACAAAAUUACCACCCGAGACAUAUCGAACUUAUUGAGGGGUCCACUAGCUCUAAACAAAUGACACUUUACAAACUUCUCUAAAAAAAUAAAAAAUCCCUCACCAGUAUAGUAUUAACAUCAUAGAUACGCACUUAAACUUAAGAUCAAUUCAAUAUGAAAUAUGAAUAUCAAAUUCUAUCUAGAUUUUUCUAUCAUAUUUGUAAAUUAAUGAUUGAGACUUUGAUUAAACCUUCACAUAUUUAUUUUUUUAAAUGUCUACCAAAUAUCGAAUUGAGCUUUAGAAACUUAGCUUUAACCCAUGUUUAUGUCUAAUGUAAGCAGAUUAGUCCAUUUAUAUUUUCUUUUGUUAGAUAUAUUUGUAUUUUUACAUUUGAUAUAACCUUUUACGUAUUAAUAACUCAUGUUAUAUAAUUUGUCAUAUUCAUAUAUUCAUUUUUUGUUUACAUUAUUCUUUUGGUAUCAUAUUUUAUUAUUUGUUUUCGUCUUUUAUUUUCAAAAUUGCUAGAGUAUUUACAUCGUAUCAUUGCAUUUAGCUUUGUCAAUUGGUGAGGACAUCAAGUUAUAUAAGAUGAGUCAAUUCGUGUAUCUAUUAUAUUUGUAUAUUAUAUUAGGUCAAAUUCUUCUAUUAGUCCCUAUGCUAUGCAUAAGUUCUGAAAUUAAUCUCUUGCUCCAAUUUAGUCCAUUUUAAUCUCUGUAUUUUUAUUUUUUGAAAUUUCAGUCAUGAAUUAAAUAGUAAUAGUUAAAUCCGUUAGAUUAAAAUUUACGUAAAUUAUGAAUUUAGUUCAUCUAAAAAUAACAAAAUGACAUGACAUUAUCUAUACGAUAAUAUUUUUUUCUCGUAAAAUUUUGGAAGUAACAUAAUUAACAAAUUUAAUGGCUAAUUAGGCUUUUUUUACCAUAAUGUUGAAAGUAUUAUAUAUCUAUUUUUUACCAUGAUGUUGAAAGUAUUAUAUAUCUACACAAAAUUUUGAUGUAUUAUAUAGUUUUUAUCGGAAAUUAUAAAUUUAAAGAAAAAAAAAAGCCGGAAACACCAAAAUUUUAUAACUUAGAAAUGUAAGUAAAUGCUGUAAAAAUAAUACUCAUUUAUCAAAAUCAAAACAUAUUUACAAACCUGUGUAAUUAUGCCACUAACAUGAAAAAACAAAACUAUAGUAAGUUAAAAAAUGUUUCCCCCAUUGUAUAAUCCUAAAACAAUAACAUACCCUAUGGUACAGGGUCUAGGUGAGGGGCACUUUGCAAUUAAAAAAAAUUAAAUUAGAGCAAAAUAUAGGACCAGAGCAAUUGUGAAUACAUAAGAAAAAGCUUUAAGUUGGGUUGAUUUAUUUGUCAUAGGUGGUGGAUAUGACCCUGGAGCUCCAGCAUUACUGCUGUUUCUGGCCGUUGCUUCCGGUUUAACGGCAGUAGCCGGAGGGACCGCUGAUGGUGGUAUCACCGGUAAAGUGUUUGAACUCUCGAUAUUGUAACCUGUGGAAAUUGGAUUGUUAAAAAGAUUUACGAGAUGAACUAGUGGAGGAGAUUGAAGAGAAGUUACUUACAAUCGGAUGCUUUCCAGCCAACUACCAUCUUUUCUCGAUCGAAGACUAUACGAUAACCGGUCAUGAAGUUUUCUGGAUCGGAUUUAAUAAAAAAAAUGUAAGUAGCAAUUGGAGAUUUUCCAACUCGAAAUACCUAAAAACUUCUAAUGGAAUGUUUGAUCAUUUGUAGAUAAGGAUCUUUACAAACAUCAUAUUGAUUAUGAGUUCAGUGUUUGUAAAUUGGAUCCAGAGAGACUUACGUCCGAUGAUAUUCACGCUGUCGCUUUUCACGACUGCCAAGCAAUAUAUAGCUCCACCCUGCAUGGGGAGCACUGCUAUUGGAUCAUUAACCAAAAGCUGAUCUCCG
rnacentral:lncRNA from 1 species